AGAUGCGAACAUUAUUUAAUUUUCAACAAAGAAGGGAACAAUUGUUUGAACGAGGAUGUUGGAAAUCAUUGAUUUUUCAGAGUGUUAUCAACAGUGAAAUACGUCGAACGUGUUUGGUUCGACAGGAAACUCUGAUGGCUAGCUUUAUAGCUAGCCAUUGGAUUGGAUUGUAUUCUAAAUCGAACAUUACUUUCGAUAAAUGAACUUGGUGGAGUCCAGUCAAUACAAUCCAGAUGCACUCUCAAUUAUUGGUGAGCAGAUAAAAUAAUUUGAAGAAUAAAAAAAAAAUAAAAAAUUUAAAAAAAAAUCAAAAAAUUCUCUACGAUCAAGCUGAUGCCACUCUAAGAGUGAAUUUGAUAUGCUAACUAACGUCAUUGAACAUUUAAAGCUUGGAAGUAUGAAAUCUACUCGACAUUCAACAUCAAAGUGCUAGGUAAAGUGUAGACAUAGACGUACUAAUACUAAUGUGAGUUUUGUGUGCGUACAUUUAGCGGCGAACUCUGACUAUAUGUACAGGAUUAUAUACAGAAGGUAUAUAUACUAGUUAUGUACAGAAGGUAUAUACUAGUAAGACACUUAAACUCUGAAUCAGGCUUGAAAGUUGGGUGAUAUCGUA